GACGAACGCUGGCGGCGUGCCUAAUACAUGCAAGUCGAACGAGAGCGACCGGUGCUUGCACUGGUCAAUCUAGUGGCGAACGGGUGAGUAACACGUGGGUAACCUGCCCAUCAGAGGGGGAUAACAUCCGGAAACGGAUGCUAACACCGCAUAGGUCUUCGAACCGCAUGGUUUGAAGAGGAAAAGAGGCGCAAGCUUCUGCUGAUGGAUGGACCCGCGGUGCAUUAGCUAGUUGGUGAGGUAACGGCUCACCAAGGCCGUGAUGCAUAGCCGACCUGAGAGGGUGAUCGGCCACAUUGGGACUGAGACACGGCCCAAACUCCUACGGGAGGCAGCAGUAGGGAAUCUUCCGCAAUGGACGCAAGUCUGACGGAGCAACGCCGCGUGAGUGAAGAAGGUGUUCGGAUCGUAAAACUCUGUUGUUAGAGAAGAACAAGUGCUAGAGUAACUGUUAGCGCCUUGACGGUAGCUAACCAGAAAGCCACGGCUAACUACGUG
rnacentral:rRNA from 1 species